rnacentral:lncRNA from 1 species
AAUCUGCUACGAUGCAUGGUACUCGAACCAUGACAUCACUCCUCCAUCUGCUACGAUGUAUGGUACUCGAACCAUGACAUCACUCAUCCAUCUGCUACGAUGCAUGGUACUCGAACCAUGACAUCACUCCUCCAUCUGCUACGAUGUAUGGUACUCGAACCAUGACAUCACACCUCCAUUUGCUACGAUGUAUGGUACCCAAACCAUAACAUCACUCCUCAAUCUGCUAAGAUGUAUGGUACUCGAACCAUGACAUCACACCUCCAUUUGCUACGAUGUAUGGUACCCAAACCAUAACAUCACUCCUCAAUCUGCUAAGAUGUAUGGUACUCGAACCAUGACAUCACACCUCCAUUUGCUACGAUGUAUGGUACCCAAACCAUAACAUCACUCCUCAAUCUGCUAAGAUGUAUGGUACUCGAACCAUGACAUCACACCUCCAUUUGCUACGAUGUAUGGUACCCAAACCAUAACAUCACUCCUCAAUCUGCUAAGAUGUAUGGUACUCGAACCAUGACAUCACACCUCCAUUUGCUACGAUGUAUGGUACCCAAACCAUAACAUCACUCCUCAAUCUGCUAAGAUGUAUGGUAUUCGAAACAUGACAUCACUCCUCCAUUUGCUACUUAGAACCUUCAUAAUACUCCCUGUAUCGAGUAUGGGUCCUCUGUUUUCGGUAGUACAGGCCCAUACUACCUGCCAUAUCUACCCAUACUUUCCACACGGACCAUCCCAG